AAACAUGUCUGUUUGGAGUUAUAAGGAGUCUAACCUGCCCACUGAUUAAUAAAUUAAAGGGCCGCAGUAUUAUAACUGUGCAAAGGUAGCAUAAUCAUUAGGUUCUUAAUUAGAAUCUUGAAUGAAUGGUUGGACAAAGGGAAUACUGUCUUUAUAUUAAUUUUGAAUUUAACUUUUGAGUGAAAAGGCUUAAAUAUUCUAAAGGGACGAUAAGACCCUAUAAAACUUUAUAUUAAGAUUGAAUUUUAGUUAAAUUUAAUUAUAAAAAUUUAAUUUAAUUAUUUAUUAUAUUGGGGAGAUAUAGGUAAAAUUUUUGUUAACUGCUUAUUGAUUAGACAUUUACGGAUGGGUAGUAAUAGAUCCUUGUUAAAGAUUAUUGAAUUAAGUUACUUUAGGGAUAACAGCGUUAUUUUUUUUGAGAGUUCAUAUCGAAAAAAAAGGUUGCGACCUCGAUGUUGAAUUAAAAUAUCUAUAUAAUGAAGCGGUUGUAUAGGAAGGUCUGUUCGACCUUUAAAAUUUUACAUGAUUUGAGUUCAAACCGGCGUGAGCCAGG
rnacentral:rRNA from 1 species